GGCAAGGUGGCCGAGCGGUCCAAGGCGUGUGACUCAAGUUCUCAUCUGGGUAUCCAGGCGCGAGUUCAAAUCUCGCCCUUGUCA
rnacentral:tRNA from 1 species